UAGAAGAAUCAGAGGGGUUCAAAUCCUCUUUGAAGUA
rnacentral:tRNA from 1 species